UACGUAGGGUGCAAGCGUUGUCCGGAAUUAUUGGGCGUAAAGAGCUCGUAGGCGGUUUGUUGCGUCGGCUGUGAAAUCCCGAGGCUCAACCUCGGGUCUGCAGUCGAUACGAGCAAACUAGAGUGUUGCAGGGGAGACUGGAAUUCCUGGUGUAGCGGUGAAAUGCGCAGAUAUCGGGAGGAACACCAGUAGCGAAGGCGGUUCUCUGGGCCGGUACUGACGCUGAGGAGCGAAAGCGUGGGGAGCAAACAGGG
rnacentral:rRNA from 1 species